AUCUAGGACAAUAGGAUUUACCUAGUAUUGCCUGUUGUGCAAAUCUCCUAGGAACUUUUCACCUGCUUCUGCUACGGGAAAUGAUUGGAUAUCCGUUUGCAUUUCCUCUUCUUCAUGUGUGGAAACUUUUGUUCACUGUGCUUCAGGCUGGACCUGGCCUGAAAGUGGGUCCUUGAAUUCCCUUUGUACCAUUCCAACUGGUCAAGCUGGUUAUGAGACCUGAGGAAAGUGUUUAGGCAUGGACUUGGUACCAAGUAAAUUUUACCUUGGUACCAAUGUAAAUCCAGUUGGUACUUGGUACCAACUUUGGGCCCCCAAGAUAAGGGCAUUUGUAGCUGCACCAGAAGACAGGGAACAAUGAAAACUAAGAUUACGCCCUCUGUGAUGAUCUUCACCACCACCAGUACCCCCAAUGCCUUUAUGAACGAAGGACUAACGUAACACCAAGGACUCCCAUAUGAAGAGGACCUUCCUGGAUCUGUAACUGGGAUUAACUAGUUCUUUACUUGGAGAGAAAGUUUCUCCAAAUUCUCAGGAUAAAGCCAAACAGGCCUGUGACUGUCCCUUGAAUAGUGACAGUGUAAACAAGCUUCUAGCUCCCCCAGGUCAAGCUGAGAACCACUUUUCAUUAGAAUGUUGGGUUUCUUCUUUGUUAUUCAAACAUACACCCACACACAUCCUCUUCACCCUCCCUAAUGAAAAACCUCAACAGAUGGAGAGCCUAGGCUCCCAAGACUUAUGGCUGAGAAGAUGCACUCCACUCAAGGGUUGGUUGGCAGCGGGCCAUUCGCGCAGCCUCAUCUCUCUACCCAGCUUUAAUUCACAUUUGAUGCCUGGACAGAACAACAGGGGCUCCCGAACAGCUGCCACCCCCAUCCAUGGACCUGGGCUUUAGGCCCUGAGCCCUUUCAGGCCCCAGGAGGAUCCGCCACAACCUCGCUGUACGCCCUCCCAGCGGUCUUUAUAAGAAAAAAAGCAGAGCUGGUCCAGGCCUGAGCCAGAGAGCCACCUCCUCCUGGAGCAGCUAACGAGGUAAAUCUCUCAGAGACCAAUGCCCAAAGCGAAGCCCGGCCCUUCCCGACCUCCAGGCGUGGGCCCAACAGCGCUAUUGUGAGGCCUUGCCCGACGGAGAGCCCUUGGGGAAGCCGCGCACACAAAGGCGCAGGGGCUCCGGGAAGCCGGGGUUGCUCGGGCGCCCUCAACCUAGGGCGGGACAGUCGAGGCCUUGUGCACUCCGCGAUUGUACCCCGUGCGGCCGUCCCGGACAAAAGUCACGGACCAGCGUGGAGGUUUCCUUCCCCUGCCAACCUUCCCCUUCCCGCUCCAGGCCACACACUCCCCCACGUCCCCGGGAAGGAGAGGCCCGGCCCUGGGCGCCAUUGCCCAGUCGGUACUCCCCUCCCCCACUCUCUUCUUUCUCUGCUUUUCCGAGACCCGGGAGGGAGGAGGCGGGCGCCUCCACGGAUAGAGCAGCUAUUGUGACCUUCCCUCGCCGAGCGGGAACCCAACCGAGUGUACGGCUGGCGGGGGAGGAGGUGACUGUGCAGACCUCGGGGUGCAGAGGGGGUGGUGCUGGGGAAUAAAUAAAGGUUUGCAAACUUGGGCA